rnacentral:tRNA from 1 species
GACCCUGUAGCUCAGCUGGUAGAGCAGCAGCCUUUUAAGCUGAUGGUCGUGGGUUCAAUCCCCACCGGGGUCA